UAUGCAAAAUGGGGCUCUUGCUCCUGAGUGAAGAGUCUCUAUAAGAUCCAUCUGGAGACUGGCCUCAGGUGACUUGGUGUAUUAUAUGCAGUAAGGAUCAUUUCCUUUGCUCAACAUGCUUUAUGUCACUGGUUCAGUUCUCCUGACCCUCUUAAUGUUCGGGAGGAGCAAUGGAGACUCAGUGACCCAGACAGCAGGCCUGGUUACUCUUAUAGAGGGGGCACCUGUGACCUUGAAUUGUACUUACCAGACCACUUAUUCAGGAUCUUUCCUUUACUGGUAUGUCCAGUAUCUUGAUAAAGCUCCUCAGCUGCUCCUGAAGAGUGCAACAGAAAACCAGAAGACAGAGAGCCAAGGUUUCCAUGCCACUCUUGUUAAGAAGGAGAACUCCUUCCACUUGCAGAAAACUGCAGUCCAAACAUCAGACUCAGCUGUGUACUACUGCGCUGUGGGAGACACA